rnacentral:rRNA from 1 species
UAUCUCUGUAGAGUCUGCAUAUCAAUAAGCGGAGGAAAAGAAACUAACUAGGAUUCCCUCAGUAACGGCGAGUGAAGCGGGAAGAGCUCAAAUUUGAAAUCUUCAAGGUUCUACCUUGACGAAUUGUAGUUUAAAGAAGUGUUUUCUGUUGGAGUUUUGGUAAAAGUUCUUUGGAAUAGGACAUCAUAGAGGGUGAGAAUCCCGUAUUUGACCAUUAUUUCCAGCUUUGUGAUACACUUUCAAAGAGUCGGAUUGUUUGGGAAUGCAGUCCAAAAUGGGUGGUAAAUUUCAUCUAAAGCUAAAUACUUGGCGAGAGACCGAUAGCGAACAAGUACCGUGAGGGAAAGAUGAAAAGAACUUUGAAAAGAGAGUUAAACAGUACGUGAAAUUGUCAAAAGGGAAGCGUUUGACACCAGUGUUGUUUUCUCGAAAAUCAAUUAAAAAAGGCAGGAUUUUGUGUUGUAUUGACUUUAUCAGCUUUCUGCACUCUUUUCUUGUCUUUUUUAAUGCACUUUUCGUUUAACAAGUCAACAUCAAUUUCCUUUUGUUGUAAAAGGGUCAUUGGAAGGUGGCUUUCUUUUCGGAGAAAGUGUUUAUAGCCUUUGGCCUCUGCAAUCGGAGAGAUUGAGGUCUGCAGCGUAGAUCCUUCGGGGUUAGAUACAUUUGUGCUAGGUUAUAGCCUUUCAUAGACAACUUGUUGACUAUGAUCAGUCAUGUAGCUUACUCGCUUAUGCUAUUUUACCUACGCUUAGGAUGUUGAAGAUGUAGCACAUCAU